UAGUCCACGCCGUAAACGAUGGUCACUAGCUGUUUGGACUUCGGUCUGAGUGGCUAAGCGAAAGUGAUAAGUGACCCACCUGGGGAGUACGUUCGCAAGAAUGAAACUCAAAGGAAUUGACGGGGGCCCGCACAAGCGGUGGAGCAUGUGGUUUAAUUCGAUGAUACGCGAGGAACCUUACCAGGGCUUAAAUGUAGAGUGACAGAUCUAGAGAUAGUAUUUUUCUUCGGACUACUUUACAAGGUGCUGCAUGGUUGUCGUCAGCUCGUGCCGUGAGGUGUCAGGUUAAGUCCUAUAACGAGCGCAACCCCUGUUGUUAGUUGCCAGCGAGUAAUGUCGGGAACUCUAACAAGACUGCCGGUGCAAACCGUGAGGAGGGUGGGGACGACGUCAAGUCAUCACGGCCCUUACGUCCUGGGCCACACACGUGCUACAAUGGCGAGUACAGAGGGCAGCUACCAUGUGAAUGGAUGCCAAUCUCAAAAACUCGUCUCAGUUCGGAUCG
rnacentral:rRNA from 1 species